CCCUUAGAUGUUCUGGGCCGCACGCGUGCUACACUGAGUGGAUCAGCGGGACAGGUUGCGCGAAAGCGUUUCCUAAUCUUUAAAUCCGCUCGUGAUGGGGAUUGACGGUUGCAAUUUUCUGUCAUGAACGAGGAAUACCUUGUAAGCGCGGGUCAUCAUCCCGCGCUGAAUACGUCCCUGCCCUUUGUACACACCGCCCGUCGCUCCUACCGAUUGAGUGGUCCGGUGAGGCUUUGGGAUCUGAGCGGAAAGAGCGUUUCGCUGUUUCUGCUCGGAAAACUCAGUCGAACCUUAUCAUUUAGAGGAAGGAGAAGUCGUAACA
rnacentral:rRNA from 1 species